rnacentral:rRNA from 1 species
UCAUGGCUCAGAAUUGAACGCUGGCGGCAUGCCUUACACAUGCAAGUCGAACGGCAGCAUGAUCUAGCUUGCUAGAUUGAUGGCGAGUGGCGAACGGGUGAGUAAUACAUCGGAACGUGCCCUGUAGUGGGGGAUAACUAGUCGAAAGAUUAGCUAAUACCGCAUACGACCUGAGGGUGAAAGUGGGGGACCGCAAGGCCUCAUGCUAUAGGAGCGGCCGAUGUCUGAUUAGCUAGUUGGUGAGGUAAAGGCUCACCAAGGCGACGAUCAGUAGCUGGUCUGAGAGGACGAUCAGCCACACUGGGACUGAGACACGGCCCAGACUCCUACGGGAGGCAGCAGUGGGGAAUUUUGGACAAUGGGGGCAACCCUGAUCCAGCAAUGCCGCGUGUGUGAAGAAGGCCUUCGGGUUGUAAAGCACUUUUGUCCGGAAAGAAAUCGCACUUACUAAUAUUAGGUGUGGAUGACGGUACCGGAAGAAUAAGGACCGGCUAACUACGUGCCAGCAGCCGCGGUAAUACGUAGGGUCCAAGCGUUAAUCGGAAUUACUGGGCGUAAAGCGUGCGCAGGCGGUUGUGCAAGACCGAUGUGAAAUCCCCGGGCUUACCCUGGGAAUUGCAUUGGUGACUGCACGGCUAGAGUGUGUCAGAAGGGGGUAGAAUUUCACGUGUAGCAGUGAAUGCGUAGAGAUGUGGAGAAUACGGAUGGCGAAGCAGCCCCUGGNAUACACUGACGCUCAUGCACGAAAGCGUGGGAGCAAACAGGAUUAGAUACCCUGGUAGUCCACGCCCUAAACGAUGUCAACUAGUUGUUGGGGAUUCAUUUCCUUAGUAACGUAGCUAACGCGUGAAGUUGACCGCCUGGGGGAGUACGGUCGCAAGAUUAAAACUCAAAGGAAUUGACGGGGACCCGCACAAGCGGUGGAUGAUGUGGAUUAAUUCGAUGCAACGCGAAAAACCUUACCUACCCUUGACAUGCCACUAACGAAGCAGAGAUGCAUUAGGUGCUCGAAAGAGAAAGUGGACACAGGUGCUGCAUGGCUGUCGUCAGCUCGUGUCGUGAGAUGUUGGGUUAAGUCCCGCAACGAGCGCAACCCUUGUCUCUAGUUGCUACGAAAGGGCACUCUAGAGAGACUGCCGGUGACAAACCGGAGGAAGGUGGGGAUGACGUCAAGUCCUCAUGGCCCUUAUGGGUAGGGCUUCACACGUCAUACAAUGGUGCAUACAGAGGGUUGCCAAGCCGCGAGGUGGAGCUAAUCCCAGAAAAUGCAUCGUGGUCCGGAUCGUAGUCUGCAACUCGACUACGUGAAGCUGGAAUCGCUAGUAAUCGCGGAUCAGCAUGCCGCGGUGAAUACGUUCCCGGGUCUUGUACACACCGCCCGUCACACCAUGGGAGUGGGUUUUGCCAGAAAGUAGUUAGCCUAACCGCAAAGGGGGGCGAUUACCA